GACGAACGCUGGCGGCGUGCUUAACACAUGCGAGUCGAACGGAAGGGCCCUGCUUUUGUGGGGUGCUCGAGUGGCGAACGGGUGAGUAACACGUGAGUAACCUGCCCUUGACUUUGGGAUAACUUCAGGAAACUGGGGCUAAUACCGGAUAGGAGCUCCUGCUGCAUGGUGGGGGUUGGAAAGUUUCGGCGGUUGGGGAUGGACUCGCGGCUUAUCAGCUUGUUGGUGGGGUAGUGGCUUACCAAGGCUUUGACGGGUAGCCGGCCUGAGAGGGUGACCGGCCACAUUGGGACUGAGAUACGGCCCAGACUCCUACGGGAGGCAGCAGUGGGGAAUAUUGCACAAUGGGCGGAAGCCUGAUGCAGCAACGCCGCGUGCGGGAUGACGGCCUUCGGGUUGUAAACCGCUUUCGCCUGUGACGAAGCGUGAGUGACGGUAAUGGGUAAAGAAGCACCGGCUAACUACGUG
rnacentral:rRNA from 1 species